rnacentral:lncRNA from 1 species
UUUGUGCAGUGAUCAAUCAUGUGGGUGGAUAUACUCAUUGCAUUGAAAGAUAUUGUACAAAAGAUUGGUUAGAGGCUGAAUGCGAAGCUGAGUGUAGAACAAGAACAUACAGCACAGGCUCAUGUCUUGGUCCUUUUCCAAAACUUCAAUGUUGUUGCAAAAAGUGAAAAAAAAAACUUUAGAAAGUGGUCAUCUUUUAUACAACUGGUGAUUUAAGGGUUGGUUUAUAUUUUUCUAUAGUAUAAAAAGAUAAUUUAUUAUCUUGUUUUAUCUUCAAUAAAAUAAUCUAAUUAUAUUAUUAUUUUUUGUGUGUG